UACGAAGGGGGCGAGCGUUGUUCGGAUUUACUGGGCGUAAAGGGCGCGCAGGUGGUUCCUUAAGUCUGAUGUGAAAGCCCACGGCUCAACCGUGGAGGGUCAUUGGAAACUGGGGAACUUGAGUGCAGAAGAGGAAAGUGGAAUUCCACGUGUAGCGGUGAAAUGCGUAGAGAUGUGGAGGAACACCAGUGGCGAAGGCGGCUUUCUGGUCUGUAACUGACGCUGAGGCGCGAAAGCGUGGGGAGCAAACAGG
rnacentral:rRNA from 1 species